CAGGCCUCCGGGCCGCGAAGUCGCAGCGCCAGACCCAAGGCCCCCGAGUGAGCGCGGGCGCCGAGGCAAGCCGGUAUAUUCGGGGCCCAGGAGCAAGGAAAAGUGGCCUUUUGCGUGACACAGAAGUGGACACAUCAUUCUGAUCUCAGGGCAGGCUCAGCCCCAUAACUCUGGCAAAAGCUCUCACAAGCAAAAGCCUUGGAGAGGAGGAGAAUGUAUCAAGAGACAGGGGUCUUGCCAUGGCUGGUCUUGAAGUCCUGGGCUCAAGCGAUCCUCCCUCUUUGGCCUCCCAAAGUGCUGGGAUUACAGGAGUGAGUCACUGCACCCAGCCUUACUCCUCUUUAGACUCCCAAGCCUAGACCAAUUGCUUUCAAAUUCUUGCCCGUGACCUAUAGUAAGAAAUACAUCGUAGGUAACUACACAGGUCACACUGUAUAUAGCUGAAACAAAAGUUUACUGAAAUAACUCCCUUACUGUGUCUGCUGGUCUGUAAUCCUUUUUGUUCUUGUGUAUUUGUUUUUUUUUUAAUUACUGAUUGCUACCCACGAAAUUAAUUUUGCAAUCCACUGAUGGGUCAUACCCAGAAUUUGAAAAAAACAAGCCUAGGAAAUGAAUUUGCCAUCUAUUCAUGCAACAAAUGUUAAUUGCAACCCUAAUAAUUCCUCUCAUGUUAAACUACUCAAGUAACACUUGGAUACUUGGGUGAAAAAUGCAAAUAAGCCAGAAAUAUAUGUAGUAAAAGUAAAAGUUCCCUUGGCACCCUCCCUGCAGGUAACCCCAGUUAAUAGUUUGAACGUAUCCUUCCAGACUUUUUGUUACUCACUUAAUGCAUAUAUAUAUAUAUAUAUAUAUAUAUAUAUAUAUAUGUAUGUAUGUAUGUAUAUUACAUAUACCAAUCCAUGCAUAGUUUUCUUUUUCCCCAAGUGAGGACAUACUGUGGGCUCUUCCUCGGCAGCUUCCUUUUUCCUCUCCGUUUGUCUUGGAGAGGUUGGUUGUGUGGCGAAGUCCUUCAGGGCAAGUUCUGGGUUGACUCCUGGCUCCACCACAUACUGAACAGGCCAUUUACCUCUCUGUGCCUCAGUGUCCCCAUCUUUACAAUCAGGAGAAUAACAGUACAGACCUCACGGUACUGAAGUAAAGAUGCAGUGAGUUAAUCCAUAUGAAGUUUAGAGCAGUGCUUUUGCCAAUAAAUGCUGAUUGCUGCCGUCAUUGUUGUAUUGUUAUUGCUGUUCUAUCUCCAUGGCAGCCCAUGUUUGAAAUGCAUUGCUUUCCACAGCUGCCUGUGGCCAUGGCAUG
rnacentral:lncRNA from 1 species